GAUGAAGAACGUAGCAAAAUGCGAUAAGUAAUGUGAAUUGCAGAAUUCAGUGAAUCAUCGAAUCUUUGAACGCACAUUGCGCCCGCCAGUAUUCUGGCGGGCAUGCCUGUUCGAGUGUCAUUUCAACCCUCAAGCACAGCUUGGUGUUGGGACUCGCGUUAAUUCGCGUUCCCCAAAUUGAUUGGCGGUCACGUCGAGCUUCCAUAGCGUAGUAGUAAAACCCUCGUUACUGGUAAUCGUCGCGGCCACGCCGGUAAACCCCAACUUCUGAAUGUUGACCUCGGAUCAGGUAGGAAUACCCGCUGAACUUAAGCAUAUCAAUAAGCGGAGGA
rnacentral:misc_RNA from 1 species